CUCAGCCUUGGUCUAAUACGGCACCGACUCUGUGGCUAGAAAAGGGUGGACCGUGGGAACUGACCAUAUCCGUGGGUAUCAGCCUUGGGACAUAAAGGAACUUCACUGAGGAGCCGAACACAAGGCCACGGCAAAGGACUCAAAAUGACCAGCCGAGGUUAUUUAAGCGCUUCCUCACUUGCUGUCUGGCUUUUACGGUUGUGCUGUUACGUUCACCAUGUUCGUCCCUUGACGGAGUUCGAGUGGCAAUGGCAAAACGGAAACCUGAAGUCCCAAAACGGUCACGCGGUGUCAACUGCCGAGCCAGAGGUUGCAAGAACUCGAGCCUCAAUUGCAGCCUUUCAUUCUUUGGUUUCCCAGGAGACGACAGGAGACAUGCAUGGAUUGAGUACUCUGGCCGGCCUGAAUAUGCUGCUCUUCCACCUCAGCAGCUCAAAAAUAGGAAGCUCUGUGCAGCACAUUUCACUUCCAAUGCAUUUGCAAACAGACAGAGGACUUACCUGAGGAAAACAGCAAUUCCUACAGUGCCCCUAAGCCGUUCAUCAGUGACAGCAGCGGGUCCUUCAACACCUGGCGAGAGACGGUUUCCAUCUACCCCUCCG